GCCGAAAUGGCGGAAUCGGUAGACGCAGCGGACUCAAAAUCCGCCGGUAGUGAUAUCGUGUGGGUUCGAGUCCCACUUUCGGCA
rnacentral:tRNA from 1 species